rnacentral:rRNA from 1 species
GAUGAACGCUGGCGGCGUGCCUAAUGCAUGCAAGUCGAGCGAACAGACGAGGAGCUUGCUCCUCUGAUGUUAGCGGCGGACGGGUGAGUAACACGUGGAUAACCUACCUAUAAGACUGGGAUAACUUCGGGAAACCGGAGCUAAUACCGGAUAACAUGUUGAACCGCAUGGUUCAACAGUGAAAGACGGUCUUGCUGUCACUUAUAGAUGGAUCCGCGCCGCAUUAGCUAGUUGGUAAGGUAACGGCUUACCAAGGCAACGAUGCGUAGCCGACCUGAGAGGGUGAUCGGCCACACUGGAACUGAGACACGGUCCAGACUCCUACGGGAGGCAGCAGUAGGGAAUCUUCCGCAAUGGGCGAAAGCCUGACGGAGCAACGCCGCGUGAGUGAAGAAGGUCUUCGGAUCGUAAAACUCUGUUAUUAGGGAAGAACAAAUGUGUAAGUAACUAUGCACGUCUUGACGGUACCUAAUCAGAAAGCCACGGCUAACUACGUG